CCUACGGGGGGCAGCAGUAGGGAAUCUUCCACAAUGGGCGAAAGCCUGAUGGAGCAACGCCGCGUGGGUGAAGAAGGUCUUCGGAUCGUAAAACUCUGUUGUUAGAGAAGAAAGUGCGUGAGAGUAACUGUUCACGUUUCGACGGUAUCUAACCAGAAAGCCACGGCUAACUACGUGCCAGCAGCCGCGGUAAUACGUAGGUGGCAAGCGUUAUCCGGUUUUAUUGGGCGUAAAGGGAACGCAGGCGGUCUUUUAAGUCUGAUGUGAAAGCCUUCGGCUUAACCGGAGUAGUGCAUUGGAUACUGGGAGACUUGAGUGCAGAAGAGGAGGGUGGAACUCCAUGUGUAGCGGUGAAAUGCGUAGAUAUAUGGAAGAACACCAGUGGCGAAAGCGGCUCUCUGGUCUGUAACUGACGCUGAGGUUCGAAAGCGUGGGUAGCAAACAGGAUUAGAUACCCCAGUAGUC
rnacentral:rRNA from 1 species